rnacentral:tmRNA from 1 species
UGAAGUAGAUUAAUUGGGACUGGCUAAGCAUAGAGCCUGCCACUUGGCGCUAUGUGAGGUGAGAUAUUAGUGAAGUUGGCUAAGCAUGUAGAUGCAGCAAGGAAAAGAUUUGCGGACAGGGGUUCGACUCCCCUCGUCUCCACCA